rnacentral:lncRNA from 1 species
UUUCGGAUCGGCAGGAUGUACCCCCAGGGAAGGCACCCGACCCCGCUCCAGUCCGGCCAGCCCUUCAAGUUCUCGAUCUUGGAGAUCUGCGACCGCAUCAAAGAAGAAUUCCAGUUUCUUCAGGCUCAAUACCACAGCCUCAAGCUAGAAUGUGAGAAGCUGGCCAGCGAGAAGACGGAAAUGCAGCGACAUUAUGUCAUGUAUUAUGAGAUGUCGUACGGGCUCAACAUUGAAAUGCAUAAGCAGGCGGAGAUUGUGAAGCGUCUGAGCGGUAUCUGCGCUCAGAUUAUCCCCUUCCUGACCCAGGAGCAUCAGCAGCAGGUGCUCCAGGCCGUAGAACGCGCCAAGCAGGUCACCGUGGGGGAGCUGAACAGCCUCAUCGGGGUGAGUCUCUCUAGCCCCUGCCCCGCCAUGGGGAGACGCCCACUCCCAGGUCCCUGGCACCCACCCAGGAGGUGUUAAAGCUGGGGUGGUGUGUGGGCCUUGGCUCCAGUGGUCCUGGGAACCCCAGGGGCACAUGCUGUGCUUAGGUCCCAUCCCCUGUGUCUACCUCUUGGGCUGGGGACCGCUGGGCUCCUGCCGCCCCCCGCCCCGGCCCAUCCUGCCUCCUUUCUAGCAGCAGCAGCUCCAGCCGCUGUCCCACCACGCACCCCCUGUGCCCCUCACCCCCCGCCCAGCCGGGCUGGUGGGCGGCAGUGCUACGGGGCUGCUUGCUCUGUCUGGAGCCCUGGCUGCCCAGGCUCAGCUGGCGGCGGCUGUCAAGGAGGACCGUGCGGGCGUGGAGGCCGAGGGGUCCAGAGUGGAGAGAGCCCCGAGCAGGAGUGCAUCUCCCUCGCCCCCUGAGAGUCUCGUGGAGGAGGAGCGACCGAGUGGCCCUGGUGGUGGCGGGAAGCAGAGAGCAGAUGAGAAGGAGCCAUCAGGACCUUAUGAAAGCGACGAAGACAAGAGUGAUUACAAUCUGGUGGUGGACGA